AACGAACGCUGGCGGCAGGCCUAACACAUGCAAGUCGAGCGAGGACUUCGGUUCUAGCGGCGGACGGGUGAGUAACGCGUGGGAAUGUGCCCUUCUCUACGGAAUAGCCCUGGGAAACUGGGAGUAAUACCGUAUACGCCCUUUUGGGGAAAGAUUUAUCGGAGAAGGAUCAGCCCGCGUUGGAUUAGGUAGUUGGUGGGGUAUGGCCUACCAAGCCGACGAUCCAUAGCUGGUUUGAGAGGAUGAUCAGCCACACUGGGACUGAGACACGGCCCAGACUCCUACGGGAGGCAGCAGUGGGGAAUCUUAGACAAUGGGGGCAACCCUGAUCUAGCCAUGCCGCGUGAGUGAUGAAGGCCUUAGGGUUGUAAAGCUCUUUCAGCUGGGAAGAUAAUGACGGUACCAGCAGAAGAAGCCCCGGCUAACUCCGUG
rnacentral:rRNA from 1 species